rnacentral:rRNA from 1 species
GACGAACGCUGGCGGCGUGCUUAACACAUGCAAGUCGAACGGAAAGGCCCUGCUUUUGUGGGGUGCUCGAGUGGCGGACGGGUUAGUUACCCGUGAGUAACCUGCCCUUGACUUUGGGAUUAAUUCCGGAAACUGGGGCUAAUACCGGAUAGGAGCUCCUGCUGCGUGGUGGGGGUUGGAAAGUUUCGUCGGUUGGGGAUGGACUGGCGGCUUAUCAGCUUGUUGGCUGGGUAGUGGCUUACCAAGGCUUUGACGGGCAGCCGGCCUGAGAGGGGGACCGGCCACAUUGGGACUGAGAGACGGCCCAGACUCUUACGGGAGGCAGCAGUGGGGAAUAUGGCACAAGGGGCGGAAGCCUGAUGCAGCAACACCGCGUGCGGGAGGACGGCUUUCGGGUUGGAGACGGCUGUCGCCUGUGACGAAGCGUGAGUGACGGUAAUGGGGUAUGAAGCACCGGCUAACUACGUG